GGUUGUAUGGAGUAGUGGUCAACUUAGGAGAUUUUGACAUAGCAUCUGCGCCUUCAGGCGCAAUCUCGUCAGACCUUCUCUUGCCCCGGGUUCGAAUCCCGGUACGACCU